GAGUGAACACAACUUUUCAAGAAUUUUUUUCUAACAGGAUUUCUGACCUUUGUCGGAAAUCCCAA
rnacentral:snRNA from 1 species